UACGUAGGGCGCAAGCGUUGUCCGGAAUUAUUGGGCGUAAAGAGCUCGUAGGCGGUUUGUCGCGUCUGCUGUGAAGACCUGAGGCUCAACCUCGGGCUUGCAGUGGGUACGGGCAGACUAGAGUGCGGUAGGGGUGACUGGAAUUCCUGGUGUAGCGGUGGAAUGCGCAGAUAUCAGGAGGAACACCGAUGGCGAAGGCAGGUCACUGGGCCGCAACUGACGCUGGAGGAGCGAAAGCAUGGGGAGCGAACAGG
rnacentral:rRNA from 1 species